AUUCACCUGAGGAGUCCUAAAUAGAACGAAACGCAUGUCCUAGAU
rnacentral:hammerhead_ribozyme from 1 species